rnacentral:rRNA from 1 species
UACGUAGGGUGCAAGCGUUGUCCGGAUUUAUUGGGCGUAAAGAGCUCGUAGGCGGUUUGAUAAGUCGGGUGUGAAAUCUCCAGGCUCAACCUGGAGCUGCCACUCGAUACUGUCAUGACUUGAAUUCGGUAGGGGACCACGGAAUUCCUGGUGUAGCGGUGAAAUGCGCAGAUAUCAGGAGGAACACCAGCAGCGAAGGCGGUGGUCGUGGGCC